ACGUAUACUCCUCAUAAUCAGUCACUCCAGCUUAGUUGAAAUCAUUUAUCAAAGAAAAACAAGGAUUGUACAUUAUUUUCUCCAUCACCAUACAUACUUUAAUAUCAUCCAGCACGACCUUUCAAUUUAAUGAAAUCAGAGAUGCACAAGGUCCAUAAAAUAUAAAGCAUUAGGCAUUCUUUCUCAUACCGUGCCCAAAAGGGUGAAAAGGCAAAGCUAAAUGCUACUCAACCUUGCAGGUUCCAUCUGUACUGCAGUCACCAAAACACUACUCCAGUACCAAGAAUAUUUCUAACAGUUGAUCAAUAAACUUUCAAGUUUUCCAAGAUUUUAGUUUAGGUCAGACUUUCAUAUCUACAAUGAAACAAUUUCCAGGACUGAAUACAAAAGCUAGGUUUAAAACUUUCUAUUUGCUCCUCAAGCAUAUAGCAUUUUUAGGUUAAAUGGUUAAAAGAAAUGCUCGACCUUUCCAGGUCCAUAUUUCAUAAGUAUUUUGACAUCAAUAAGCAGUACUACUUUAUUUGAGCACUUUCAAUUAAAAAUUGUGAGGUUAAAUAUAUAUCAGCAUUGGUUCAAUCUUACUACCACAAAUCUGUGGCAAUCACAGAAAAUGAAUGAACCUGAUAAAUUGCUUGCAGUAAAUGGUCCCCCAUUGUCAGUAGCUAGAUGACUAGCAUUUCGUCCACACCAUGAAAAGCAUGCCAUGAUUCGUCUCCUUGAAGCAACUACCUUCAUAAGCCAUCAACUAUGUCAGCUCUAGCAACAGAAAGCAUGCAUGUAAAGAAUUAACCAGCCAUAACAGGCUUCUAUUUUCAAAAAAUUGGAUGAUGAUUGAGAAUGUAAUUACAGAGAUAAUGAUCCAAAGAGAAGAAAUAACAAAACCCUGGACCCUGAUACAGAUGAUACCUCCUAAAGGUUAGGAAAGCUUAUUGCAGUUUGUUCUGAAUAUAGAUUCCCCAUGGUAUUAGAUAAAUUUUAUGAUGAAAGAGAACAAUGUAUUUGUGCAAAAAUCAUAAGAAUCAAAAACCAUGCUUUUCAAUGAAUUGGUUAUCAGGUCCAAUCCCAUCAUCUCACGAAACUUCCAGAGAUGCCUACUUCUUUUU
rnacentral:lncRNA from 1 species